rnacentral:rRNA from 1 species
CCUACGGGAGGCAGCAGUGGGGAAUUUUGGACAAUGGGCGCAAGCCUGAUCCAGCCAUGCCGCGUGCGGGAAGAAGGCCUUCGGGUUGUAAACCGCUUUUGUCAGGGAAGAAAAGGUUCUGGUUAAUACCUGGGACUCAUGACGGUACCUGAAGAAUAAGCACCGGCUAACUACGUGCCAGCAGCCGCGGUAAUACGUAGGGUGCAAGCGUUAAUCGGAAUUACUGGGCGUAAAGCGUGCGCAGGCGGUUAUGCAAGACAGAGGUGAAAUCCCCGGGCUCAACCUGGGAACUGCCUUUGUGACUGCAUAGCUAGAGUGCGGCAGAGGGGGAUGGAAUUCCGCGUGUAGCAGUGAAAUGCGUAGAUAUGCGGAGGAACACCGAUGGCGAAGGCAAUCCCCUGGGCCUGCACUGACGCUCAUGCACGAAAGCGUGGGGAGCAAACAGGAUUAGAUACCCUGGUAGUCCACGCCCUAAACGAUGUCAACUGGUUGUUGGGAGGGUUUCUUCUCAGUAACGUAGCUAACGCGUGAGUGACGCGNGGAGGACGGCGCGAGUAGUAACGUACAAUAGAGUUAGUACGGCGUGAGACGUAGCCGACGGACGACGACGAGGGAGGAGG